rnacentral:rRNA from 1 species
GAACUAUUGCGGAGAGACUAACUAGGAUUCCCUCAGUAGCUGCGAGCGAACAGGGAAGAGCCCAGCACCGAAUCCCGCGGCCGAUACCGGGCGCCGGGAAAUGUGGUGUUAGGGAGGAUCCGUUCAUCCCGAGGUCGUGCGGUGCGUCCAAGUCCUUCUUGAACGGGGCCACAGCCCAUAGAGGGUGCCAGGCCCGUAGCGACCGCUGCCGAUCGCGGGAGGAUCUCUCCUCAGAGUCGGGUUGCUUGAGAGUGCAGCCCUAAGUGGGUGGUAAACUCCAUCUAAGGCUAAAUAUGACCACGAGACCGAUAGCGAACAAGUACCGUGAGGGAAAGUUGAAAAGCACUUUGAAGAGAGAGUUCAAGAGUACGUGAAACCGUUCAGGGGUAAACCUGAGAAACCCGAAAGGUCGAAAGGGGAAAUUCAUUCGCGUUUCGGCCGUCGGCGUUGGAUGGUCGAGUGACGGAUGGCGCAUGCGUCGUCCGCGCCUUCCUUCCUUCGAACUGGCGUCGAACGCGUGCACUUUUCCCCUAGUAGGACGUCGCGAUCCGUUGGGUGUCGGUCUAAGGCCCGUGGUGGAGCCCGUGCGGACGUUUCGGCGUUCGCUCGGACCCGCGGUGUCCCGGCCGACUCGCUCGACGGUAUACAGAUGGCGCGGGGCCGCUACUUAAGUUAGCGUUCGGCCAGCGGCAAGCGCGUUCGGUGUUUGACGGCGAUCGGACCCGGUGCCGGUCCUGUCCCCGAACGACUGUUGGCCGCUGUGUUCUCGAACAGACCUCGUUUUUGAAACGCCGAUCUGCGACGCUAUAGCUUUGGGUACUUUCAGGACCCGUCUUGAACCGCCA